rnacentral:lncRNA from 1 species
GGCUGUAUUUGGGGCGUUAUUGCAAAGAAUGAACACACACUGCACAACAUACAGGAGUCAAAAAGAAGAACUACAGUGGAUUGUAAACCAGGCCGUAAACCACGGAUAUGAUAGAAAUAUAAUUUUAAACUUGUGGAAUAGAAUAACCAGAAGAACAAACAAGAAACCUAAAACCACGCAUAGGGACCCGAUGAACUUUCUAAAUUUGGACAUCAACCCGGUAAACUAUGAAGUAUAAAAACAAAAUUGAAAAUUGUACACAAUCACAUGUAAUCUUUAACAGAAGGAAUACGUUAUUUAAUAUAUUAAGAAACGACAAGGAUAAGAACCC